UCAGAACGAACGCUGGCGGCGCGCUUAAUACAUGCAAGUCGAGCGAGACCCAAGGCUUCGGCCUUGGGGACAGCGGCGAACGGGUGAGUAACACGUGGGUAAUCAACCCCUGCCACCGGGAUAGCCCAGGGAAACUUGGAUUAAUACCGGAUGCCCCAUCUGGCUUUCGAGCCGGCUGGAAAAGGGUAGCUUCGGCCUCCGGUCGGGGACGAGCCCGCGGCGGAUUAGCUUGUUGGUGAGGUAAAGGCUCACCAAGGCGACGAUCAGUAGCUGGUCUGAGAGGAUGAUCAGCCUCACUGGGACUGAGACACGGCCCAGGAUCCUACGGGAGGCAGCAGU
rnacentral:rRNA from 1 species